CACGUAGGGCGCAAGCGUUGUCCGGAAUUAUUGGGCGUAAAGAGCUCGUAGGCGGUCUGUUGCGUCUGCUGUGAAAACCCGGGGCUUAACCCCUGGCUUGCAGUGGAUACGGACAGACUAGAGGUAGGUAGGGGAGAAUGGAAUUCCCGGUGUAGCGGUGAAAUGCGCAGAUAUUGGGAGGAACACCGGUGGCGAAGGCGGCCCCCUGGACCGGUACUGACGCUGAGGCGCGAAAGCGUGGGGAGCAAACAGG
rnacentral:rRNA from 1 species